AGGCAAUAUGUCCGCCGACACGAUCGCUGAGUCGGGUGACCCGGGUGUUCUGCAAGGUUCGCUGGUCUUCAGGAUGGCGUUGGCCUGUAAGAAAGGAAAGAAUUCCAAUUAUUUGCAGGUGACAGAUUUGACCACAUACCCACAUAUCUGCGCUGAAAACAGACGACAAGGGACCAAAGCCCUGUGCAAUCGCCAGGGGAGUGUGGACCUUAUCUGCCCCUGUGUGGUCCUACUCCAGUGAACAGAUGUGGUGUUCGGGAAGUUGUGUUUCGCUCGACUGUAAACAGUGAACUGCUCGCUGACUGGUCGUCAAACAGGAAGCAGGUUGUGACCCACAAUAUAGACAUAAACAUAAAAUAUCCUCUGGUGACCAGCAA